UACAGAGGGUGCAAGCGUUGUUCGGAAUUAUUGGGCGUAAAGCGCGUGUAGGCGGCUUUGCAAGUCGGGUGUGAAAGCCCUCAGCUCAACUGAGGAAGUGCGCCCGAAACUGCAGAGCUUGAGUACCGGAGAGGAUGGCGGAAUUCCCCAAGUAGAGGUGAAAUUCGUAGAUAUGGGGAGGAACACCGGUGGCGAAGGCGGCCAUCUGGAACGGUACUGACGCUGAGGUGCGAAAGCGUGGGGGAGCAAACAGG
rnacentral:rRNA from 1 species